rnacentral:rRNA from 1 species
GAUGAACGCUGGCGGCGUGCCUAAUACAUGCAAGUCGAGCGAACGGACGAGAAGCUUGCUUCUCUGAUGUUAGCGGCGGACGGGUGAGUAACACGUGGAUAACCUACCUAUAAGACUGGGAUAACUUCGGGAAACCGUAGCUAAUACCGGAUAAUAUUUUGAACCGCAUGGUUCAAAAGUGAAAGACGGUCUUGCUGUCACUUAUAGAUGGAUCCGCGCUGCAUUAGCUAGUUGGUAAGGUAACGGCUUACCAAGGCAACGAUGCAUAGCCGACCUGAGAGGGCGAUCGGCCACACUGGAACUGAGACACGGUCCAGACUCCUACGGGAGGCAGCAGUAGGGAAUCUUCCGCAAUGGGCGAAAGCCUGACGGGGCGACGCCGCGUGAGUGAUGAAGGUCUUCGGAUCGUAAAACUCUGUUAUUAGGGAAGAACAUAUGUGUAAGUAACUGUGCACAUCUUGACGGUACCUAAUCAGAAAGCCACGGCUAACUACGUG